rnacentral:rRNA from 1 species
UACGUAGGUGGCGAGCGUUAUCCGGAUUUACUGGGUGUAAAGGGCGUGUAGGCGGGUUUGCAAGUCGGGUGUGAAAGAUUCGGGCUUAACCCGGAGAGGUCAUCCGAAACUGCAGAUCUUGAGUGCUGGAGAGGAUAGUGGAAUUCCUGGUGUAGCGGUAAAAUGCGUAGAGAUCAGGAGGAACACCAGUGGCGAAGGCGGCUAUCUGGACAGUAACUGACGCUGAGGCGCGAAAGCGUGGGGAGCAAACAGGAUUAGAUACCCGGGUAGU